rnacentral:tRNA from 1 species
AGCUAACCGGCGAAUGUAAAAACUGACUAAGCAUGUAGUGCCGACGGUGUAGUAAUUUCGGACGCGGGUUCAACUCCCGCCAGCUCCACCA